AUUGAACGCUGGCGGCAGGCUCAACACAUGCAAGUCGAGCGGACGUGCUGACGUGGGAGUAAUGCCUAGGAAUCUGACUGGGAGUGGGGGAUAACGUCAGGAAACGGGCGCUAAUACCGCAUACUAUCAGAUGAGCACAGGUCGGAUUAGCUAGUGGGUGGGGUAAAGGCCUACCAAGGCGACGAUCCGUAACUGGUCUGAGAGGAUGAUCAGUCACACUGUGACUUUGACACGGUCCUGCCUCCUACGGGAGGCAGCCGUGGGGAAUAUUGGACAAUGGGGGAACGUCUGAUCCAGCCAUGCCGCGUGUAUGAAGAAGGUCUUCGGAUUUUUAAGCGCUUUAAGUUGAGACGCGUUACCUACAGGAUAAGCACCGGCUAACUACGUGCCAGCCGCCGCGGUAAUUC
rnacentral:rRNA from 1 species